UCACAAGUGAACUGGCUUUGCCUACAGCCAUCACAGGACUUCUGGUUUCACUCCACUAGACAACUCUUGAUCACAGUUUCAAAAUAAAGCUAAUGCAGCAAUUCUACCCAGGACAACAACAACUACAAAGCCUUCUUCAGAUUUUGUAGGAUCUUCAGGAAUGGUUGGGAGUCUGGAGCCAUUACAUUGACAUUGAUUACAGAAGCAGUUAGGAUCACAGCAUAUAAGAAUAUAGUUGGCUUUCAGCAAAUAGGGUUAUAAAGUAUGUGACGGCAAACAUUACACAAAUUGUUUGGUCUGGAGAUGGGCUAGAGCUCAGGACAUGCAAAGAACAAGGAAAGGUGCUGCAUAAUUCAAACAAGAGUCCUUUGAAAGAUAAACAUUAGAAUAUUAGUCAAUGCAGAAAGAGCAGUCACUGAGGACGAAGAAAAGGAAACAAGAAAAAAAAUUAAAGGUGAAUAGAAUGUGUAUAUAUAUACAUAUAAUUUUUUUUUUUAAGUGAUGAACACUUUGAACUCAAAGAACCUGAAUCUGCAUGGACCUCCAAAACAUCUCUUCUUCAUUUACCAGGAGUGACCUCAAACAUCCGGCCCAUCAAUCACAAACAUCCUGUCAAUGGACGCUAAUUAUUACUGCCAGUAUUUCUGCAGCAAAUAUGUGCUGGAGAACAAAUUACAUAACAUCCAUUGCUGACCACUCAGCUGCCCUCCAUUCACAUCAACCACUUUCACAGAUCUGUUGCUUUGUAGGCUUGUAACUAAGAUUCACAUGAGAGGUGGAAUUAUGAUGACAGUUUAGAGCAGUGCUAGUGAGAAGCUAAACCCCAACAUCCAGGAAGUGUGUUGGUGCUGGUAGGUGCAAAAUUAUUUUGACUGCAGGUUCCCCUGCUAUCACUAAAAUGAAGGCUGUGCUAUGGCUUGGUUGCACAGGUAUUCCAGGUUAUGUCAGGGCACUCAAAGACAUGCUGGGUUAAAGAGAGGACUGGGUGAGGGGAAACAGUAGAGAAAAGUCGGUACACUCAAUUUUAUGAGAUUUAACACUAGUGAUAUUACGAUAAAACAUGGCUAGGUUUUAGAUAAUAUUACAGUUGGGAAAAAUAAGGACCGAAGAUAUUUAUUCAUUGCUGUUCUAUGGUAUCCUCAAGUCUAGGAGAAAAGUUAGAGCCAGUGAAGCAGUUCGUACUUGAUUUUGAGGUAACUGAAGGUAAGCAGGCUAUAGACAGGCUUAAAAUGUAACAGCAAGCUAUUGUCAAAAUGCAAAAUGCAAUUUGGACUGCAAAUCUGGUCUGCAAUGUGUUUUACAUUUUCUGUUUCAAAUUAAAUUCAAAUGCUUUGAGUUUCUUAUACCGUAUACCAUAUUAUUUGCUCUCCCCCAUAACAUUCCUCAAGAAUGGUCAGACUUGUUGAAAUCAACAUUGCAUCUAGACCAACAUGAAGAAUCUGACAAGAAGACCCAUAGGGAAUAGUCUCAUCGUUUCAUAGACCUCUAUCAUGUAUAGAUACACCCCUUUUGUCAUAUAAUUUUCAUGUCGAAGAUUCAUAAUCUACUUAGCUUUUCCCUUUAAAGAAUCUAUUUCAAGUACGUGGUCACCUCUGUGCAACUUUUCUGAACCUUAUUCAGUUCAUUUUUGCAAUGAAGAGGGAGAAUGCAACACAGCUGCAGACAGAUCAACAUCUCCAUGGAGAGAAUGGCAGUCUUCCAUACAAGAAGAGACAAUAAUCACAAGCCCAGAUUAAUGGAAAACUUCCAGUGGACUUGAAGUGAUUCUGCACAAGAAAGGCUAGGAGUCGAUGUCUUCAAUCUCUAGGGUGCUCCUUAUGGUGCUCUUGAAUUACUGUUGAAUAAACCUCAUGCCUCCUCGUAGAAAGCAGCGUUUCUUACUACGAAGCUGGUCAUGAAGAGGCUGCAAUGAAGAGUGUACAGUCAGGACUGCAAUGCUGCUUUCUGGAAGGACAGAACCAGAUAGUUACAGAGCCUACUCAAUAGGUGAGCAGUAUGUCUGCCUACGGAUCCAUAUAAGGAAAAACGUAUCACUGCUUUUCAAGUUCUAGAUGUUUGUGCUUACCAUUCAGAUGCUGUUAACAAGUCGUAUGUGAGAUAUCCUUACGUUGCCUGAGAUGACUUUUGGCUGUUAGCAUAAAUCUUUAAGGAAAUGGUGAAAACACACAGUGAGUUAACAUUCUGAAAUUUAGGCUGUACUAUCAAAAUACGUCAUUUGUCAGCAAUGGCUCUACAAAACACAUGUAAUUCACUUGUCUCUUCAAGUUAAGAACCAUUGCUGGGAAGGAAAGAGGAAGCUACUCUGCCUCUCCUGAGUUCUUAGGUACACUGAAGCAAUCCUCUUUCCUUUUGCACAAAGAUCAGAGCAAGCGAGCAAACAUAAUGCACUCUAUCAGCUAAUGAGACAUCAGCUUCCACUCAUACUCUUACUUUGAUAUGGUAAGGCAGCCUUUUGCAACUGCAGCUAUAGAACUGUAAGUGAACAAAUAAGAGUCAACGGUGAACACACAUACAGUAGGCUUACUGCGGUACAGUAGCUAUAGAACUUCCUAUGGCCGAUAAGUUUCUUAAAAUGAAAUUAACCGCCUCAGCUGCUUAAAAGUUAAGGUUCUGGUUUAUGUUAGCAUCUCCCUGAGGUCAACUGUCAAGAGAGGUUUGACUUAGUUCUCUGAGGCACUUAUCCUUACUCUGAAAAACCAUAUAGAGAAUAAUUCAGAGUGGUAGUCUCUGGACCUUGAGAUUUCAGGGGAUAUUUUGAACACAACGCAAGGUGAGACAACUCUCAGAACACUUACAUUUCCUUUUGCUGCUGGUUCAGGACAAUUUCCACAGUAGCUUUGCAUGGAUCCAGCACUGCAAAACUGAUAAAGGAUCGUUUUAGAACUGCACAAUGACUGAUGCGUUGGCCAAUACAGAGCUGCCUUUAGCCUUGAAUUUACACAUACAGAAAAGCUGUAGCCAGAAAUCUGUUUUGUGGUAUUUUUUAAGCUUUCUACCAAACAUCACGCUGGCCCUGAUCAUAAUACCAAUAAAAUAUUUAGG
ensembl:lncRNA